GUGAGGAAUAUUGGUCAAUGGGCGAUAGCCUGAACCAGCCAAGUAGCGUGAGGGAUGACGGCCCUAUGGGUUGUAAACCUCUUUUAAACGGGGAUAAAGUGCGCCACGUGUGGUUCAUUGCAGGUACCGUUUGAAUAAGGACCGGCUAAUUCCGUGCCAGCAGCCGCGGUAAUACGGAAGGUCCGGGCGUUAUCCGGAUUUACUGGGCGUAAAGCGCACGUAGGCGGACGGGUAAGUUGGCCGUGAAAGCUCCUGGCUUAACUGGGAGAGGUCGGACAAAACUGCCAGACUUGAGGCUGAGAGAGGAGAGCGGAAUUCCCGGUGUAGUGGUGGAAUGCGUAGAUAUCGGGAGGAACACCAGUGGCGAAGGCGGCUCUCUGGCUCAGAACUGACGCUGAGGUGCGAAAGCGUGGGGAGCGAACGGGAUUAGAAACCCCGGUAGUCC
rnacentral:rRNA from 1 species